rnacentral:miRNA from 1 species
GGAGGUCAUCCUUGGUUCACA